rnacentral:lncRNA from 1 species
CGCAGCACAUCUUGUUCAUUUUAGGCUCAAAACAUUUUUACUUCUUGAAGCAGCUUAAAUGACUGACAAACAGCCACUGUUGGCCUAAAUUAUCUUCCAAUAUUUAGUUUGCUAUUGAAGUAAGGUCUCACAACUUAAGCACAUAUUGUACUUCACUUCAGGCUACAAAAAUAUAUAAAAAUUACUCAAAAGCAACUGCAGCCCAACUUCCAAUAUGCAGUUGGCUAUUCAAGAGGCUUCACAACUUCUCAUAUGGUUCAAGAUCAGUAACUUGGUUAUUUCACAUGUUGCCUACACUGAUGAGACAAACUACCAGCACUUAUUCAGUUUACAUAAAACCAAAGUCAUUUUUCCUUGGUUCCUUACCCACUAUAAAUUGUAUUUCCUGAUGCGCAACCAACUAAAAUAAACACUUCUAACGCAUUGAAGUAGAUAUAUCCGAGGCAGUUUAAGGGACAUACGUUCAACUUGAUCUUCAAAUAUUUAGCUAGCCAUUCUCAUUUCUUCAUAUGAUGCUCGUCUUAUAGCUGCACCAGUACUGAAUCACCCGGGCAGCCAUUUCUCCACUACAUCGUGACACGCCGCGAUUUUUUUUAUCAGGCCUACAACUGCGCCACAACACGCGCAUUUUGUUUGGUAAAGCCUUCUUGACUAGGUACCGUAGUUAUUAACAAAUGUGACAUUUUCGCUGUUACUUAGCGUAGAGAUGCCAACUCAGCUGAAAUAAGCAUUCUUUUGUGUUAAACUACGUAACUGACGAUGAUAAUAACAAUACCCUGCCACCUAACGAUAACCUUGUUGUGGCUUUCAUAAUGGACACGUCAGCUUGAUCGUUUCUUAUAGCUAUAAUGUUAAUCUUAUUGCAUACGAAUCGUAAGCAAUUCAGUACUCGAGUAAAAGCAACAAUCGCAAAAAAAAAAGCUGAGGCAACAAAUCAUGUAGGCGUCGAAAGACAAGCUAGCAGGUAACGUAAGAUAGCUACUUUAUCUGAUCAAUUUAAACUACUUCCAUACUACAUUCGUCACACGAGACCUGUUACAUAUUAGUCUUAGCUAUCAUUCGUCAGUUCUAAAAUUAAAGUAACCUAAUAAGAGAUUCAGGAAAAAUAAAUUUUGACGAAACCGAACCGUUAACCAACGCAGCACAGUAAAACGGCAUCAAUAAAGAGUUUGGAGUUGGAAGGGGGUUGCGGGUGGUAGUUAUACACGAGUUGUGAUGCGGCUAACGUCACCAUGAGAAUACCUCCGACCUAGUGAUUCACGAAAUAGGGCCACAUUCGUCGCGCAUUUAUGAAAUGGCUGCGAACUUUUACUUACACUUUGUUUUACUUCACCGUGAAACACAAGCGUACAAACCUACUUAUUUUAAUGUAUGGUCAUGAAAAAAGGGUUUUGGUAAAUGUGGGAGUCUAUCAAAAUGUACUUACUUGCAUUGCUUUCAUCUCAACCAUGAACCAACCUACCUAUGUACAUUUGUUAACAACAGCAUCAAACUUGCCAAUCAUAAUACAGUACUGUAAAUAUUGCCAUUAUGUAUUAUGACGUGUUCUCAUUUCUCGAGUUACAAAGGCUGCUGUUGUAAGAGGGAGUCAGUCAUUCGACAUACUUUUCGAAUAACAACAGCUGACGUCAACGCAUUUGGUGCUCGGAUAAAUACAGUGCAAGAUGUGAACAGUCCAUACAAACCGGAUUAAACUGGAAUUCACUGGUUCUUUCUACCGGGUCUACUUCCCUUAUACUGCAUUGCUGAAUUUGAAUUUGCUUAAUGUCGAACAUUAUGUAGCCUACCAACCAAUAAUUCUCACUCGGUUUUUAAACAUUGUAACAACUAGACAUUUGUAGAAGAGCUAGUUGUUAACUAUGGGAGAGCAAACCAGUUUCCUUUUACUUAAAAAAAAUAAGCGGAGGAGCUGUGAAAUGACUCAUCAUGGGCAUUCCAAAUAUAACAUCAGAAAAAAACUCAAGAUGGCUACAGUAGCCCAUAACAAACCUGUACGGUCUAUAUGCUGUAAAAGAAAAGUGAUGAUAAUUAAUGUAGCCUACAUCAGCAACCAAACCACUAUCUAUUCAUCAGCAGGUUUGUUUGUGUUUCAUAAUUAGCUUUUCCAUUACAUAUCUUGGCACAACAAGAUGAUGGAAUAAUAGGGGGGGAAAUGUUUGAAUUAAAUCGGUCAAUCUGUCUUUUUAGACACCCAAUUGUCAAUAUCAGCUCACCAAGGACAUUUUUAGCCUCUCAAAUCUAGAAGAUUCUACAAAAGAAUCUUGAGAAUCUAACAAAGUCUCAGUAUGUGAUUGUGAAUCUGUGUGGAAAAGUACAGACUGGACUCUGGAGGGCAGAGGAAUGAGUUUGCCUUCACCACCAGAUGGCACAAAGCUACUUCACAGAAUUCCUGCAUUACUGCUAGUUAGAUGUCAUGAUGGCGAUCAAACUAGGAAUUAAUCGUCUCUAAAAGCAAUGCAGGAGGCCCCAGAGCCUAUUAUUGGAUCUGAGUAGGCUAUUUAGUCUCCAUCACACUGACAUGGGGCUUCCGAGUGGCGCAAAGGUCUAAGGCACUGCAUCUCAGUGCUUGAGGUGUCAUUACAGAUACUCUGGUUCGAUUCCAGGUUGUAUCACAACCGGCUGUGAUUGGGAGUCCCAUAGGGUGGCACACAAUUGGCCCAUGGUCGUCUGGGUUUGGCCUGUGUAGGCAGUCAUUGUAAAUAAGAAUUUGUUCUUAACUGGCUUGCCUAGUUAAAUAAAGGUUAAAUAAUUUGUUUUAUUUCACAAUGAAAUCAUAAGGGACAAGCCCAGACUAGUCUAGCAGGUUGAUGAAGGAGAGUACAGUCUUAGAAUAAAAGGUGCUAUCUAGAACCUGAAAGGGUUUUUCGGCUGUCCCCAUAGGAUAACCAUUUUUGGUUCCAGGUAGAACCUUUUUGAGUUCCAUGUAGAACCCUUUCCAAAAUAUGUUUCUACAGUGCCUUCAGAAAGUAUUCACAGCCCUUGACUUUUUCCACAUUUUGUUAUGUUACAGUGUGAAUUUAAAAUUGAUUAAAUAGAGAUUGUGUGUUACUGGUCUACACACAAUACCCCACAACGUCAAAGUGGAAUUGUUUCUUAUACAUUUUUACAAAUUCAUUAAAAAUGAAAAGCUGAAAUGUCUUGAGUCAAUAAGUAUUCAACCCCUUUGUUAUGGCAAGCCUAAAUAAAUUCAGCAGUAAAAAUGUGCUUAACAAGUCACAUAAUAAGGGGCAUGGACUCACUCUGUGUAUAAUAAUAGUGUUUAACAUGAUUUUUGAAUGACUACCUCAUCUCUGUUCCCCACACAUACGAUUAUUUGUAAGGUCCCUCAGUCGAGCAGUGAAUUUCAAACACAGAUUCAACCACAAAGAUCAGGGAGAUUUUCCAAUGCCUCGCAAAGAAGGGCAGAUAUUGGUAGAUGAGUAAAAAACCAAAAAACAAACAGACAUUGAAUAUCCCUUUGAGCAUGAUGAAGUUAUUGGGUAUCUGAAUAUUGACUGGUUUUCAUCAGGCUGUCCACUCAAGAGGAAGCAUCUCACUGUAACCAGUGCCUGUAAUCUGGUUCAAAUUAUUAAUCAACCUACCAAGGUGUUUACAAACACUACAGGAACAAGAUCAUCCACAUGUAUUGAUCACAUUUUUACUAAUACUGUAGAACUUUGUUCUAAAGCUGUAACCGUACCCACUGGAUGCAGUGAUCUCAAUAUGGUGGCUAUAUCCAGAAAAGCCUAAUUUUCGAAAACUGGGCCUAAAAUAGUGUAUAAGAGAUCAUACAAAAUAUUUUGCUGUGACUCUUAUGUGGAUUAUGUUAAAAAUAUUUGUUGGAACUGAUGUGAUUAAUAAGGAGCAUCCAGGCGCUGAACUUGAUGAAUUUAUGAAAUUGCUUCUUCCAAUUAUUGAUAAACAUGCACCUGUUAAGAAACUGACUGUUAGAACUGUUAAGGCUCCAUGGAUUGAUGAGGAAUUGAAAAACUGUAUGGUUGAAAGAGAUGGGGCAAAAGGAGUGGCAAUAAAUCUGUCUGCUCAUCUGACUGGCUGACCUACUGCAAAUUGAGAACUGAUGUGACUAAACUCAACAAAAAGAAGAAGAAACAGUAGUAUGAAGCCGAGAUCAAUGAUAUAAAGAAUGAUGGAGAAAAAAAACGUUGGAAUACUUUAAAUUAAGUUAUGGGCAGAAAUUAAAUUCAACUCCAUCUUUCAUCAAAUCAGAUGCCGUAGUAAUCACAAAAUCAUUUGAUGUUGCCAAUUAUUUUAAUGAUUACUUCAUUGGCAAAGUGGGCAAACUUACGCAGGAAAUGCCAACAACAAACAGUGAGCCAUUGUACUCAUGCAUAAAAAAGAAAAGUAUUGCAAGUUUGAAUUUUGUAAAGUUUGUGUGGGAGAGGUGGAAAAAAUAUUGUUAUCAAUCAAUAAUGACAAACCUCCUGGCAUUGACAACUUAGAUGGAAAGCUACUAAGGAUGGUAGCUAACUCUAUAGCCACUCCUAUCUGUCAUAUCUUUAAUCUGAUCCUAGAGAAAAGUCUUUGUCCUCAGGCCUGAAGGGAAGUCAAAGUCAUUCCGCUACCCAAGAGUGGUAAUGCAGCGUUUACUGGUUCUAACAGCAGACCGAUCAGUUUGCUGCCAGCUCUUAGCAAACUGUUGGAAAAAAUGGUGUUUGACCAAAUACAAUGUUAUUUCUCUGUAAACAAAUUAACAACAUAUUUUCAGCAUGCUUAUAGAGAAGGGCACUCAACAUCUACUGCAUUGACACGAAUGUCUGAUGAUUGGUUGAAAGAAAUUGAUAAUAAGAAGAUUGUGGGAGCUGUACUAUUACAUUUCAGUGCAGCUGUUUGACAUUAUUGACCAUAACUUGUUGUUGAUAAAACGUACUGUAUGUGUUAUGGCUUUUCAACCUCUGCCAAAUCGUUGAUUCAGAGCUAUCUAUCUAAUAGAACGCAGAGGGUUUUCUUUAAUGGAAGAUUUUCUAAUGUCAAAUGUAAAGCAUUGUGUACCGCAGGGCAGCUCUCUAGGUCCUUUAUUCUUUUCUAUUUCUACCAAUGACCUGCCACUGGUAUUAAACAAAGCAUGUGUGUCCAUGUAUGCUGAUGAUUCAACCAUAUACGCAUCAGCAACCACAGCCAAUGAGGUUACUGAAACCAUUAACAAAGAGUUGCAGUCUGUUUUGGAAUGGGUGGCCAGUUAUAAACUGGUCCUGAACAUCUCUAAAAAUGAGAGCAUUCUAUUUGGUAACACUCAUUCCCUAAGUUCUAGACCUCAGCUGAAUCUGGUAAUUAAUGGUGUGGCUGUUGAACAAGUUGAGGAGACUAAAUUACUUGGUGUUACCUUAGAUUGUAAACUGUCAUGGUCGAGAACAUAUAGAUUCAAUGGUUGUAAAGAUGGGGAGAGGUCUCUCCGUAAUAAAAAGAUGCUCUGCUUUUUUGACCCAACAGAUCCAAAAAGCAAGUCCUGAAGGCUCUAGUUUUGUCUUAUCUUGAUUAUUGUCCAGUGGUGUGGUCGAGUGCUGCAAGGAAAGACCUAGUUAAGCUGCCCACACAACGCCAUACACGUUGUCUGCGGUUGUGAGGCCGGUUGGAUGUACUGCCAAAUUCUCUAAAACAACGCUUAUGGUAGAGAAAUGAGCAUUAAAUUGUCUGGCAACAGUUCUGGUGGACAUUCCUGCAGUUAGCAUGCCAAUUGCACGCUCCCUCAAAACUUGAGACAUCUGUGGCAUUGUGUUGUGUGCCAAAACUGAACUUCAGAGUGGCCAUUAAUUGUCUCUAGCACAAGGUGCACCUGUGUAAUGAUUAUUCUGUUUAAUCUGUGUAAUCAUUCUGUCAGGUAGAUGGAUUAUCUUGGCAAAUGAGAAAUGCUAACUAACAGGGAUGUAAACAAAGUUGUGCACAAAAUGUGAGAGAAAUAUCCUUUUUGUGCUUAUUUUAUAUAUUUGUGUUCAGUGUAAGUACACUUUGGUGUAUCAAUACACCCAGUCACUACAAAGAUACAGGCAUCUGUCACGACUUCCGCUGAAGUCGGUUCCUCUCCUUGUUCGGGCGGCGUUUGGCGGUCGACGUCACCGGUCUUCUAGCCAUCGCCGAUCCACCUUUCAUUUUGCAUUUGUUUUGUCUUGUUUUCCCACACACCUUUCCCUCAUUACUUGUCGUGUAUAUAACCCUCUGUUCCCCCCAUGUCUGUGUGUGGAAUUGUUUGUUGUUUCGUGUAUGUGCACGUCUGACUGGUUUGCGCCGGGGUAUGUCUACCCUUAGUUGUUUAGUGUUCUAAGUGCCGUGUGUUUUGUUCACCGAAAUAAACUGCUCCGUUUGCUACCCAAUUCUGCUCUCCUGCGCCUGACUUCCUUGCAGCCAGUUAUGCACACGCUACAGAAUUCCACAACCAAGUAUGGAG